CAGUCGCCGCGGGAAUACAGAGGGUGCAAGCGUUAAUCGGAAUUACUGGGCGUAAAGCGCGCGUAGGUGGUUUGUUAAGUUGGAUGUAAAAUCCCCGGGCUCAACCUGGGAACUGCAUCCAAAACUGGCAAGCUAGAGUAUGGUAGAGGGUGGUGGAAUUUCCUGUGUAGCGGUGAAAUGCGUAGAUAUAGGAAGGAACACCAGUGGCGAAGGCGACCACCUGGACUGAUACUGACACUGAGGUGCGAAAGCGUGGGGAGCAAACAGGAUUAGAUACCCCUGUAGUCCCUGUCUCUUAUAC
rnacentral:rRNA from 1 species